rnacentral:ncRNA from 12 species
CCUUGACAGUCACAUCCCGUGACUGACUCUAGCCACGACAAGGAGAUAACAUG